CAACGCCCAGACCUCCAGAAAUCACGUGUGCAGCCUGAAUUGCCAUAGACAAGUGCAACUGUAAAACAGUUUCCAGCCUCUUUUCCCCAUAUUGUCACACUAUGGGUUCUGACUUCUGGCUGCUUUGGCACCAGAGGCCACUAAUUCCUGUUUGCAGUUUUCUCACGGCAACAACGGUCUUUCUGCCUUGACUUUCUUGUAUUUCCUUCUUGCUAACAAAGAUUGUUUGACCAUCUAUGCACUGAGCUACAGGUGCUCCUGAUGAAACCGCUAAAGGAGUUGGAUGUGACUGACGUCUUUGGGAAAGACAAGAGUUAGCAUGCCCAUGCAGUUGUGUCCAAAUGCUGCUCUUAUCUCCCAAUGGAAAGGUGGGUCUGAAGAUUCUACAGUGCCUCAGGACGCAUGCAGUCUCUUAACCAGCGAAGUUCCAGAACCAAGGAGGCCCAGCAUAAGUCCUGAGAAUUACUUCUAAGAGUAAAAGGCUCUUUGCUGUCCUCCUCAGAAUGGAUCAUAGUCCCUAAUGACAAGUGAUUGGAGGCCAGUUUCAAUCCACUGAAGCAUGGGUUCCAAGUUUUCAAUCUGGUUUUCUUGAGUACUGACUGAGUGCCAAGAAUGAGGCAAUGACACAACAUCACCACCAGGACACCCCCCCCACCCCCAUCCCACCCCCUACACAGAUACAUGCCAGAGUUUGGGGCAUAACUGGUGACUUGUAAGCUUCUCCUCAAAAUAUUUACUCUCAAUAUCAUGGUUUUUUAUUUCAGAUGGAUUCAUUCUCUCUAUCCCUAGCCAAUUCUCAUAACAUUUCUCUCUAAUAUCUAAUACACUGUCAGUGUAUUCCAGACCCUAAGAAAUAUCAUAAUGGAACUAUCUAUUGACUAAAGAUAGUAUCUUCUACCUUUUCUUUCUUUCUUCCUAUCAAAACUUUAAUUUUGAAAUCUUUGAGAGCGAAGCAGUGACUACAAAUGUAAAGUAAUUAUUAAAGAAACAAUAAUUUUGUGUUAGCCUACUGAAAUCAAAAGGAACUAGAUAUUUUCUGGCAGUCCCAAAAGAAUCACAUGUUUAAUGCAGCGGAGAGACAGUGCCCUGAAGGAAAGGUGGCCUGCUGGAGAGCCACAAGAACGAACAUCCACUGCAAGUAAUAUGUGCACUAGGUCUGGAUGGGACCCAUCUCCACUAUGAAACUUGGGGCAAUUCACUUAAUCUGAGCCUUAGUUUCAUCAGCUGUGGACUAGCCAUAUCAAUGCUUCCUACUUAUUUUGUGAAUCUCCUUUCUUUUUUUUUUUUUUAAAUUUUAUUAUGUCGAUAUACAUUGUGGCUGAUUAUUGUAGCCCAUCACCAAAACCUCCCUCUCUCCUCCCUCCCCCCUCCCCCCAACAAUGCCUUUCUGUUUGCUUGUCGUAUCAACUUCAAGUAAUUGUGGUUGUUAUAUCUUCUCCCCCCCCCCCGGUUUUUUUUUUAUAAACAAUUGGGAUUAUAUCAAACUAAAAAGCUUCUGCACAGCAAAAGAAACAAUAAACAGAGU